AACAUCUUCUGUUCUGUUGUCAGUGCACGUAGCAAUACCUUUCUAAGGAUAAUACAGACUCUCCGACCCCUACUCCGACUCAAUACGUCCACGGCGUACAGAACGGUAACAUAUCUUUCGAAAUAUCUGAGCUUGGGUAUACGGGGGAACUCAACAAAUUGGGAAGAUGGAUUAUAUGGAUAUGGCUAAAUUGAGUUUC
rnacentral:ribozyme from 1 species